AGUUAAACAGUACGUGAAAUUGUUGAAAGGGAAACGAUUAAAGUCAGUCGUACCUACGAGUAAUCAACCUACACGAGCGCGAUUUUGUGGGUAUGAAGAGGUAAAAACCUUCAUGCUUGCUAAUUGGUGUUCUUUGGGCGUACUUUCUCGUAUGGUAGGUUAACAUCAAUUUCGAUCGUUAUAAAAUGACGGGAGGAAUGUAGCUUCGACUUCGGUUGAAGUGUUAUAGCCUCUGGUAGAUGUAAUGAUUGGGAUUGAGGAUUGCAACGGAUACCCUCUGGGCUAUUCGUCUGAUCUCUGGAAGUUACCUUGGUGUCGAAAGCGUGCUUAUGACAUUAAGAAUGACGGCCAAAAGGUUAGAACGGAAUUAAAUUCGUUAAGGAUGUUGACGUAAUGGCUUUAAA
rnacentral:misc_RNA from 1 species